AUUGAACGCUGGCGGCAGGCCUAACACAUGCAAGUCGAGCGAGUGGCGGACGGGUGAGUAAUGUAUGGGGAUCUGCCAUAUAGAGGGGGAUAACUACUGGAAACGGUGGCUAAUACCGCAUAACCUCGGAUGAACCCAUGUGGGAUUAGCUAGUAGGUGGGGUAAAGGCUCACCUAGGCGACGAUCUCUAGCUGGUCUGAGAGGAUGACCAGCCACACUGGUACUGAGACACGGCCCAGACUCCUACGGGAGGCAGCAGUGGGGAAUAUUGCACAAUGGGCGCAAGCCUGAUGCAGCCAUGCCGCGUGUAUGAAGAAGGCCUUCGGGUUGUAAAGUACUUUCAGCGGGGAGGCGUUACCCGCAGAAGAAGCACCGGCUAACUCCGUGCCAGCAGCCGCGGUAAUAC
rnacentral:rRNA from 1 species